UUAUUGAAGUCAGAGCUAUUGAGUGGUAGUCAUUAAAGCACACUGCAUGUGUUGUCUUGGGUAUGGGGAUGAUGGUGGGCACCAUUGAACUUCAUUACGUUGAGAGGGGGUUUUUGGGGUGCCCAGGUUCAGUCAGCAUCAACAACAGUUUAUGGUACUUCGACCUGACUCUGUUCAUUGUUGCAAAUUGGCAUUGAAUUUUGUAUUUCCAGUCCAUCUACCUCUUCCUGCUGGUAAAUUCACACCAACUGUAUGUGUGUACUCUGCCUUUGUACUAUUUCUUCAAGUCAUGGCAUUAGGACAACUAGAUUUGGUCAUUGUAACUAAGACUAUUUACUGUGAACAUUUGGGAAGCACUGAUAGACAGAAAGGGAGAUGUUGCACUGUGUAGCUGCUGGUAAGACAUGCCUGGAAAUGCUCAUCACUGAACAAAAUGUUGUCUCAAAUCUGGAUUUGUGAUGUUCCUCCUGCUUCACAGUAACAUUAAUUGGGAAAUGGAGCAGGAAGCUUGAUACUGAGCUCCUUUCCAAACAGCGAACCAUCUGAGUAAAAGUCUGCUCAUGAAUGGGAUCCCUCAGUAUAUUUCAGUCUGUGUCCCCAGCUCUGUGUGUCAGAUUUAGUUGUUUCACGUGACAUAGUUCAGCAAACCCUAGAGGCAGCUCCUAAUCAUUUAUUCAGUUAUUGCUGGUAAAUAGGUUUGCUUCAAUAAGUGAGGUUUUGGAGAAAAGCUUACUUUCUUGGGUAGAAGUUUUUCGUUGAGGUAUGUCAAUUGAAGGGGUUCUUACUUCUGAGUUGGAUGCUCCGACAGACUGUUGACUUGAGUAAGAUCACAGCCCGUCCUGAUCCUGUCCUUAUCUAAUGUCCACACAUUCAGGAGGGUCUGGGAUUGAUCAGAAACCUUGUUUGUAUGGUGGGAUCUAUCAGGGGCUUGUGCCUGAACUGCGAAGGAGGGGCUGGUGGUCUUUAGAAUCUUCAUCUUCCCUUGAUAUCACAUUUUCAUUUGCAGUGAAAUGAAGCCCCCAGAGAACUGUUUAAAUAUUAAUUACGGAAAUAAUUAGGCCACAGUCUGUAAUUAUUCAGAAUUUCAAGACAAAUGAGUACACUUAUUCCAAGGCUGUACAGAAAGCAGCUAUCAUACUGAGACAGUGUAGUGCCAGCUUUGCUUUGUAUCUAACCCUGUGCUGCACUGACCUGGGAGUGUGGGAUGGGCACAACCUGGAGAGAAUUUAGUCUGGAUCUGAUCAUUUCUUCCAGUUCAAAUUGAGAUUAAUUAUCUUUCAUUCUAUGAAUAGCUAUCCACAAACAUUGAGUGAAAUAUUGCUUUCUUUCACCAAGAAUUCAUCAAAGGAAACUUUGAAUGAAGCUCUUCUUUGCUCAGUAGGUUGUGUUCAGCAAAUUGAACAUUCAAAAUCUAUUUCACGGUGAGUAUUUAUCAUGUGUGACCCAGAGAGAUGGUGGAAUUCCAAUAACUACCUGAUGUUCCAAUCCCCUAGCUUCAUGCGUGCUUUAAAGCAGAUAUCAUUACACAGCAAGGGAUGUUUGGUGAAUGUUCAUUUUGCUACUUGCUCCAAUAUUGAGCGCAUUGCAUUGAAGCCACUGACUCUGACCAACAGAGCAAAUGCGGAGAGUUUCCAUCAGGAGUAGUUGGACCCCAGCAAGGCCCAGUUAUAGAUUAGUUACACAACUGAGCUCUACUGCUUCCAUGUAUUUUAAUAAGAUUGAUAGUGACUGUAGUGCAGACAUUUAGAACGCUAUAAUGAGAGCUUAACAAAGUUUGACCUGAUGUUUAGAGAGGAAGAAUCGAGUUGGGAAGAAGCCGGUCAGUUUGUCGAUCCUGCCUAUGAGUGGCGGGACGCGCAGCAGUUUUUCUGCGGAUGAUGAGUUGACUGCUCCAUACCGAACUCUUCCGGUCCAGGCAGCCUCUGAGGCCCACGUGCCUCCCAGCACUAGCAGGCAGGUCAAUGCCGGGCUCAGAACAGCGAGCAGCAGUAAGCACCGCGAUAUCAUCAUCUGGUGACCAAAGGCUGCUGCCAUCUCUCCACAGCGUUUACUGGCAGCUACCAGUGAUCUCACUGGAGCACAAGGUGAAUUUUAUGGAUGUCGCCAAGUUCUGGCCCGUUCACGGUGCCUCCCUGAGCAGGAAAGCAAGGUGACGUGGCAGCUAACCCGCAACUUUGAAGACAUGGCCUCCAUGCUUGUAUCAAGCACGGACCCUUGACUGAAGCAUCUGCCCUUUCUAAUCAGUUGGGUCCCAACAUGGGAGCAGUUCAUCACAAGUCCUGCAGGCUGUGAUAGUGAGAACGUGCAGUGAUUUUUUUUUUUACUGUACACUUGGACAGUUCUUUUCUGGUUCAGGAUGGGUGAUGAGACUCAAGUUUUUGUUUCCCCUGUUGGACAUUCUUGUAUAUUGUACUUGAAGUUAUUUUACUGGUGGGAUGGGAGGGGAGAAUGUCUGUUUUUGGUGUUUAAUUUUUUUAAUAUAAAAUGCUCUCACGAGCGUUCUGUGACUACAUAUUCAGGUGAAGUUAUGUUAACUUCUGACACUUUGCAUCCUCCAUAGGCACCACAUGCCAGACCGUUCCACCUCAUUUCUUCAUUUGAGGUUGAACAUUUUUUUUGUAUAAACUUAUAAACCAGAAGAAAACCCCCUCUCAGGAAGUUGAUGCCUGGUCUUGCUUGCUCUACCUGUGUGUGUGCAUGCAUAUCUAGGGUGCAGCCAAUUCUUAUCCUCUGAGCCAAUUGUGUUUUAUUGUUGAGUAUGGCGUGGACCCCACAAGGACUGAACUCUUUAUACGUGAUAACCUUGUUAAUUGUUAUGGUUCCACAUGUUGCUUCUGCAGACUCACGGGUGACUGUGUUGGUACUCUAACAGCUCUCUUGUGCUCAACCUGGUUUUAAUGCUGUUUUGAUUUUCCUUUUAUUUAACGCUAAUAGCAGUAUUUGAAGUGAAUGGAGAAGUGUUGUGAAAAAGAGCAUCUGAAACCAGCAAACUCUGGGUGGAUCACUGACCAAGUGGCCUCUUAUGCUGCAAUUUACAAUGUUUCAAACUCUUAUCAAAGGUAAACAGAAAGCAUCAUCUAGAGGACAGUGUUUAAACUUGGAGCAUCUGCAAGAGACAUGACUAAUGUGCAUUACGUUUCUGUUCCUGCCCUGGGAUGGUUACUUGGCGAACAUGGGGGAAAAGGAAUUGUUUGUCGGUCACCUCCUGUCCUUCCCUCCUUUUGCAGGCUACCCAAGGAGCAGUCAGCAGGCACUUACACCCUGCCAUUCACUGCAUUGAGAGGCUGCCGUGUACACUGGGUUCUGUUCCAUUUAUUGUGAAAACAUAACCGCGAUAAGGAAGAUCCCAGUCACUUUAACAACAAAGCAAAUAGGAGACGCCCUCAUUUUGUUUCUAUUGUUGUUAAGCAAGGAAACACUAAUCUUUUAAACUCUGUGGACAGUCAGGUUCACCACCUGAUCUCUCCUGUAUAGAGGUGUCAGCUUCUCAUGGAUGGGGAGAUGAGGGAUUGAUAAAAGUACAUAACCCUCAUCUCCCCAACCCCAACUCCACCCCUCAGCUUUUCUCCAAACUCCUUUGAUUUUCUGUGAAACAUCAGAUUUCAAUGGGAUACUCAUGUUCUGUCUCUGAGCAGACAGAGUUUAAUACUGCAUUGGAAUCCAGUGUUUUGGGAAAUGAGUCAGAAAUCACAUGACACCAGGUUAUAGUCCAACAGGUUUAUUUGAAGACAUGAGCUUUUGGAGCCUCGCUCUUCCUUCAGGAGUCAGUGAGAGAGGUGGUAUCAGACACCGAAUUUAUAAGCAAAAGAUUCGGGGGUCGUAGAACUGAUGCAAAUGUGUUGAACAAACCUAAGAUGGCUGUUAAAUCUUUAAUCAGUUAGAGAGGAUUAAUAUGCAAAUUCAAGAAUUUCUUUCAAGUCACUGCCUGAGAUAACUAAAGGUUUUAUCAGUUCCCUCGGUAUUCUAGAGGUGACAUCCCAGGUCAGACAAUGCAUUUUAGAUGUGAGGCCUUGUUUAGGAUCUGGCUGUGUUUUAACUUGGAGUCAGAUUGAUUUUAGUUCCAAAGCAGGAAUUUAUAAAAUGCCACAUUGACUGUCUACAAAUUGUGUGCUUUUUGAACAAAAUAGAGUAUCUGCAAUUACAAAUCUGCAAAUGCAAAUUAACACCAUAGAUAUGUGUGAGAGGACACAACACUUCAGUGUAGUGGGGUCACCUGUAGUGUUCAAAAAGCGCACCAUUUCUAAACAGUCAAUUUUAUAAAUUCCUAUUUUGGAAAUAAAACCAGAAGGAGGAGCAAGAGUCCAAAAGCUUGUAUCUUCAGAUAAACCUGUUGGACUAUAAUCUGGUGUCAUGUGAUUUUUGACUUUUGUUCACCCCAGACCAACACCAGCCCCUCCACAUCUGGGAAAUGGGAGCAUACAGAGCUCCAGUAAUAGGCUUUCUCCUCUUCCUUUCGGGUUACUGUAUGUGGGCCUUGUGUAGGGGUGUUUGGACGCCAUGUCUUGUGACAGUGCUGUGGCUCAGGCCCUGAUCUAGCUGUCUGCAGGAUGAAGCAAAGGAACUGGCAGCUCACUAAAGUGCUCCCCCACCAAACCCAGUGGAAAAUCCUGCUUUCCAGUCAGUUGGUCCUGGGAUGUUCACAAAGUAUGGUUGUUCAGUCCAGGAUAUUAUUGGCUAUGUUCUGUGGAACUAUCUCGUUCAGAGCACAAUUUACAAUUUAAAGCCUCUUUGAACUUGUUGAUAAACAUCACUUCAUAGGCUUGAAUCGAACUGAUGGCCAAUCUGUCAUCUCUUGAGUAGAUUGUUGUUAUAGUGAGAAUCCACAGCCAAUUAUCAUAUUUACUCCUUCUUUCUAACCUGAUCUUAUUGUCCCCUUUGUACUUGAGAAUAGUUGGUGUACGGUAUAAGUCAUAGGGAGAGUGAGAACUGGAUGGAAUGGCAGAUCCCUGUUGAAUGUGCCCCCACCAUCUCCAAGACCAGCAAUCUGAUUUGCAGCCUUCUCUCCCUUAGAAGUAUUGCUUGUUGAUUCAGAAUGCAAAUGUUUCCAGGCUUGCACACAAACCCUGGUGACCCCAUGCACGCUGCAGACUAACAUAAGUCAGCGGCUUUUUUUUUAAACAAUGUGAGCUCCUCCCUGAUCUUUGUAAUAUGGUGCUACAUGAAUCUUUAAUAUGGAUUAUCAUUUCUUAACGGAGGGGUUUUGAGAAACUGUGAUUUGAUUCAGGAAAAUUCUUCUAUUCUCUUCCUGUUUGACAGUCGCACGAAUUUUGAUAAAAUUGCAAAAAGGGGAAAAAAAAUACAUAGUUCUGAGAAAUUCUUUUCCUGACACUGAGCAGGACAGCAAUGUUGUAGCUAAUGGUGGGAUUUAUACAUUGUUUUCUCUAUGUAUUUUGAUAAUCUAAAUUGAUAAUUGUACAAAUGUAAUCUUUCCUUUUUAAUUCGUACAGAGGUUAUUGGCAAGAAGACGCCAAUCUCUCAGCAUCUGUAUGUCCAAACAGAGAACUUUACUGUUUUGUUUUUCAGAAAUACUUUUCACUAAACAUUAGAUGCAUUAGUCACAGCUUUGUGUAAAAAGAAAUAAAAAUUGUUCACUAAAUGGUCAUUUUUUUACACUUAAUAAAACCUUUUAAAUGGA